UAAAAGUAAUUAUCGCAGAGCAGUUUACGGGGGAUUUGCUACGAAUAAUGCUUCAAAUCUAAACCUUAUUCCCUUAAUCUCCCGCAUCCUCACUACCCCUCUUUCUCUCUCCUCUCUGAGCUUAGAUCUAACUCUCAUACUCUCCUGCAUCGUCCAGAAUCAAAUUUCAUUCGUCUACUUUGUUUGAUGAUUUUUGUUUUUUAAUUUUACUCUACACGAUUUUUUUGAUUUUACACAAAAAUCUCAGACGAAGGAGAACGAAAACUACGGAGAAGAAGAACUCGCCGCUCUCUACCAUGCCGAGUUUCCAAAUGCCGACGCUUCCGAUGCGGCGGCUAUCAAGGAUCCUAAAUCUCAGGUUUGUUUCUCUCUCUCUCUCCUACACCUUAUCCCUUUUCAGAUCGUUUUUCCUCUAAUUUAUUAUUUUUGUUUUGAAUAAAAUUGAAAUAAAUUAUUGUUAAUUACCCGGAAGAGGAUUGGUGAACUUGUAGAUGAAGUUGGUGUGCUUCGUUAAAUCCAGGGGAAAUUCGACCACGAGAUGGGGAUGCCUAAAGAUACUUCAAGGGGCCAGAACUUCUUGUUGAUUUACAAGACUAAGACUAUUCGUUGGACAUGUGGAGCCUUGGUUGUAUGUUUGCUGGAAUGAUAUUCUGGAAAGAGCCAUUCUUUUAUGGCCAUGACAAUCAUGACCAACUUGUAAAAAUUGCAAAGUGCAUCAAGGAGGCGUGCAGAAUGCAGGGCAGCAAGAUUUUUGGGUUGCUGUAGGGCCUGCAUCUGAUGCUAUGAAUACAUGGAUCUCUCAAGGAGAAUAUGGAAGGACUUUCUCUCAAAAUGAUGCUGGACCAAGAGAACAUGAGGAUGACUCUAUUGAG